AUUAAGAUGACAGAUUAUUGUGAAGGAUUUAAGAUCCUUUUAUGUAAAUUAUAGUGAUUUUCUCUUAAUA
rnacentral:tRNA from 1 species